UGGCUGUGAUGACAACUAGGUUACUUGUUCAUAACUUAAUUUCAGUUAAGGACCAAACCUGAUGACUUUAUUUGUGCUUGUCUGAGCCGU
rfam:Triticum aestivum genome assembly, contig: Triticum_aestivum_CS42_TGACv1_scaffold_362589_4DS